GGCUAUGAUAAAAUCACCUGCAAUGUACCUAAUCUUGUGCGACCUCCGAAGCUAAGCAGGUUUGAGCCUGGAUAUUGCUUGGAUGGGUGACCCACCAUGAAUAUCAGGUUGUCAUGGCCA
rnacentral:rRNA from 1 species